GGGCCGUCCAGGCAGCGGCUCCGCCCUCCCCAGGAGAGAGAGAGAGGGGGGAAGACCAGGUCCCUUCUCGCGCCGACGCGCCUUCGCCUGUCCCUCAGCCGCCCGAGUCAGUCAACCCGACCGCCAGCCGAAUGGCUGUGGACGGCCAGACAGAUAGCCGUCUCUCUCUCACUCACGACGCACCUCGCUGAGGAGAUGGGGAAGAUAACAAUGGCUCGUCGGCCCAGACGUCUUUGACCAAAAGGCGGGGCUGCCGUGGUGUAAUAAUAGUAAGAGCGGAAUGGACGAAGGAAGCGAGGCAUCCAAUGGAGCCGAAUCUCGAGCGCUGCGUCAGAUGGAAAAAAAAAAGCAGCUCGGCUUAAAAGCGUUCGCAGGAGAACCCGAACCCCGGUUUACUCAAUUAAUCCAGUUUCCUAUGGCAGUCUCCGCAUGCCUUAUGCUAAUCCCUUGAGGUGCUGGGUCCACUCGACGCAAGUGGUGAAAAGGAAGAGAAAGCAGCCAAAAGGGAAAGAAAGUCUGAAAAAAAGUCCUCUUUUCACCUCCGUCUGUGUACCAGAGCCAGCUGGCUGCAAACUCUCCAUUCAGGGAAUUUCAAAACAUUUUCCCUCCUCUCUUGGGGCUCCUGCACAGACAGCAGCCCGGGAGGUGGUAGUUACUAACAAUAGACCACUCAUGUUGCAGAAAAACACGCAGAUGCAGCCCCCCACAUGCUGAAGGCCUUUUAUGGAAAAAAAAUGUUCCUGGUCAUGCAUAUUAAUAAUGGCGGCCUCCUAGAAAGAUUUCCUAAAAUAAAGACAUUUGACUACAUUAAA